ACAACAUUCGGACCGUCGGUCUACCGAGCAAUAUCACCCGCUCGGUGGAAGAUCUUCCCUUUCGUCGU
rfam:Bombyx mori DNA, contig: Bm_scaf15_contig11400, strain: p50T/Dazao, build 2, whole genome shotgun sequence.